rnacentral:rRNA from 1 species
GACAGAGGGGGCAAGCGUUGCUCGGAAUUACUGGGCGUAAAGGGCGCGUAGGCGGCUUUAUAAGUCGGGGGUGAAAGCCUGUGGCUCAACCACAGAAUUGCCUUCGAUACUGUAGAGCUUGAGUCCGGGAGAGGUGAGUGGAAUUCCUAGUGUAGAGGUGAAAUUCGUAGAUAUUAGGAAGAACACCAGUGGCGAAGGCGGCUCACUGGCCCGGUACUGACGCUCAUGUGCGAAAGCGUGGGGAGCAAACAGG